rnacentral:rRNA from 13 species
ACCCUGUGUGAAUCCGGCGGGACCAUCCGCCAAGGCUAAAUACUCCUGGGAGACCGAUAGUGAACCAGUACCGUGAGGGAAAGGUGAAAAGAACCCUGAACAAGGGAGUGAAAAAGACCCUGAAACCAUACGCCUACAAGCGGUCGGAGCGGAUUUAUCCGUGACGGCGUGCCUUUUGCAUAAUGAGCCUACGAGUUACUUUUACCGGCAAGGUUAAGCACUUAUGGUGCGCAGCCGUAGCGAAAGCGAGUCUGAACAGGGCGCCAUAGUCG